GGCGGACGGGAGAGUAAUACAUAGGAAUCUGCCCAGUAGCGGGGGACAACUUGGGGUAACUCAAGCUAAUACCGCAUACGCCCUACGGGGGAAAGCAGGGGAUCUUCGGACCUUGCACUAUUGGAUGAGCCUAUGUCAGAUUAGCUUGUUGGUGGGGUAACGGCCUACCAAGGCGACGAUCUGUAGCUGGUCUGAGAGGACGAUCAGCCACACUGGGACUGAGACACGGCCCAG
rnacentral:rRNA from 1 species